UACGUAGGGCACAAGCGUUAUCCGGAAUUAUUGGGCGUAAAGAGCUCGUAGGCGGUUUGUCGCGUCUGCCGCGAAAGUCCGGGGCUCAACUCCGGAUCUGCGGUGGGUACGGGCAGACUAGAGUGAUGUAGGGGAGAUUGGAAUUCCUGGUGUAGCGGUGGAAUGCGCAGAUAUCAGGAGAACACCGAUGGCGAAGGCAGAUCUCUGGGCCGUAACUGACGCUGAGGAGCGAAAGCAUGGGGAGCGAACAGGAUUAGAACCUACCGUAGU
rnacentral:rRNA from 1 species